rnacentral:rRNA from 1 species
CCUACGGGUGGCAGCAGUGAGGAAUAUUGGUCAAUGGCCGAGAGGCUGAACCAGCCAAGUCGCGUGAGGGAAGACGGUCCUACAGGUUGUCAACCUCUUUUGUCGGGGAGCAACGCGAACCACGUGUGGUUCAUUGAGAGUACCCGACGAAAAAGCAUCGGCUAACUCCGUGCCAGCAGCCGCGGUAAUACGGAGGAUGCGAGCGUUACCCGGAUUUAUUGGGUUUAAAGGGUGCGCAGGCGGAGGUGCAAGUCCGCGGUCAAAUUGCGGGGCUCAACCCCGUACUGCCGUUGAACCUGCAUCCCUUGAGUGCGCGAGAAGUAUGCGGAAUGCGUGGUGUAGCGGUGAAAUGCAUAGAUAUCACGCAGAACUCCGAUUGCGAAGGCAGCAUACCGGCGCGCAACUGACGCUCAUGCACGAAAGCGUGGGUAUCGAACAGGAUUAGAUACCCCAGUAGUC